GACGAACGCUGGCGGCGUGCCUAAUACAUGCAAGUAGAACGCUGAAGCUUGGUGCUUGCACCGAGCGGAUGAGUUGCGAACGGGUGAGUAACGCGUAGGUAACCUGCCUGGUAGCGGGGGAUAACUAUUGGAAACGAUAGCUAAUACCGCAUAAAAUGGAUUAUCGCAUGAUAAUUCAUUGAAAGGUGCAAAUGCAUCACUACCAGAUGGACCUGCGUUGUAUUAGCUAGUUGGUGGGGUAACGGCUCACCAAGGCGACGAUACAUAGCCGACCUGAGAGGGUGAUCGGCCACACUGGGACUGAGACACGGCCCAGACUCCUACGGGAGGCAGCAGUAGGGAAUCUUCGGCAAUGGACGGAAGUCUGACCGAGCAACGCCGCGUGAGUGAAGAAGGUUUUCGGAUCGUAAAGCUCUGUUGUAAGAGAAGAACGAGUGUGAGAGUGGAAAGUUCACACUGUGACG
rnacentral:rRNA from 1 species